rfam:Bacillus sp. OV166 genome assembly, contig: Ga0115450_11
UCUGGCAAUAAUGGCGAGAAGGUCACACCCGUUCCCAUACCGAACACGGAAGUUAAGCUUCUCAGCGCCGAUGGUAGUUGGGACACGCGUCCCUGUGAGAGUAGGACGUUGCCAGGC